rnacentral:rRNA from 1 species
CACGUAGGCGGAUUUGUAAGUCAGGGGUGAAAUCCCGGGGCUCAACCCCGGAACUGCCUUUGAUACUGCAAAUCUCGAGUCCGGAAGAGGUGAGUGGAAUUCCUAGUGUAGAGGUGAAAUUCGUAGAUAUUAGGAAGAACACCAGUGGCGAAGGCGGCUCACUGGUCCGGUACUGACGCUGAGGUGCGAAAGCGUGGGGAGCAAACA